GAUGAACGCUGGCGGCGUGCCUAAUACAUGCAAGUCGAGCGAACAGACGAGGAGCUUGCUCCUCUGACGUUAGCGGCGGACGGGUGAGUAACACGUGGAUAACCUACCUAUAAGACUGGGAUAACUUCGGGAAACCGGAGCUAAUACCGGAUAAUAUAUUGAACCGCAUGGUUCAAUAGUGAAAGACGGUUUUGCUGUCACUUAUAGAUGGAUCCGCGUCGCAUUAACUAGUUGGUAAGGUAACGGCUUACCAAGGCAACGAUGCGUAGCCGACCUGAGAGGGUGAUCGGCCACACUGGAACUGAGACACGGUCCAGACUCCUACGGGAGGCAGCAGUAGGGAAUCUUCCGCAAUGGGCGAAAGCCUGACGGAGCAACGCCGCGUGAGUGAUGAAGGUCUUCGGAUCGUAAAACUCUGUUAUUAGGGAAGAACAAAUGUGUAAGUAACUAUGCACGUCUUGACGGUACCUAAUCAGAAAGCCACGGCUAACUACGUG
rnacentral:rRNA from 1 species